UGGCGGACGGGUGAGUAACACGUGAGCAACCUGCCUCUGAGAGAGGGAUAGCCUCUGGAAACGGAUGGUAAUACCUCAUAACAUAAUUGAAUGGCAUCAUUUAAUUAUCAAAGAUUUAUCACUCAGAGAUGGGCUCGCGUCUGAUUAGCUAGUUGGUAAGGUAACGGCUUACCAAGGCGACGAUCAGUAGCCGGACUGAGAGGUUGAACGGCCACAUUGGGACUGAGACACGGCCCAGACUCCUACGGGAGGCAGCAGUGGGGAAUAUUGCACAAUGGGGGAAACCCUGAUGCAGCGAUGCCGCGUGGAGGAAGAAGGUUUUCGGAUUGUAAACUCCUGUCUUCAGGGACGAUAAUGACGGUACCUGAGGAGGAAGCUCCGGCUAACUACGUGCCAGCAGCCGCGGUAAUACGUAGGGAGCAAGCGUUGUCCGGAAUUACUGGGUGUA
rnacentral:rRNA from 1 species